AUUGAACGCUGGCGGCAUGCUUUACACAUGCAAGUCGAGCGGUAACAGGUUAAGCUGACGAGUGGCGAACGGGUGAGUAAUGCAUCGGAACGCGCCCGAUCGUGGGGGAUAACGCAGCGAAAGCUGCGCUAAUACCGCAUACGAUCUGAGGAUGAAAGCGGGGGACCGUAAGGCCUCGCGCGAUCGGAGCGGCCGAUGUCAGAUUAGGUAGUUGGUGGGGUAAAGGCCUACCAAGCCGACGAUCUGUAGCUGGUCUGACAGGACGACCAGCCACACUGGGACUGAGACACGGACCAGACUCCUACGGGAGGCAGCAGUGGGUAAGUUUGGACAAUGGGCGAAAGCCUGAUCCAGCAAUGCCGCGUGCAGGAAGAAGGCCUUCGGGUUGUAAACUGCUUUUGUACGGAGCGAAAAGGUCCUUUCUAAUACAAGGGGCUCAUGACGGUACCGUAAGAAUAAGCACCGGCUAACUACGUGCCAGCCGCCGCGGUAA
rnacentral:rRNA from 1 species